GAUGAACGCUGGCGGCGUGCCUAAUACAUGCAAGUCGAGCGAACGGACGAGAAGCUUGCUUCUCUGAUGUUAGCGGCGGACGGGUGAGUAACACGUGGAUAACCUACCUAUAAGACUGGGAUAACUUCGGGAAACCGUAGCUAAUACCGGAUAAUAUUUUGAACCGCAUGGUUCAAAAGUGAAAGACGGUCUUGCUGUCACUUAUAGAUGGAUCCGCGCUGCAUUAGCUAGUUGGUAAGGUAACGGCUUACCAAGGCAACGAUGCAUAGCCGACCUGAGAGGGUGAUCGGCCACACUGGAACUGAGACACGGUCCAGACUCCUACGGGAGGCAGCAGUAGGGAAUCUUCCGCAAUGGGCGAAAGCCUGACGGAGCAACGCCGCGUGAGUGAUGAAGGUCUUCGGAUCGUAAAACUCUGUUAUUAGGGAAGAACAUAUGUGUAAGUAACUGUGCACAUCUUGACGGUACCUAAACAGAAAGCCACGGCUAACUACGU
rnacentral:rRNA from 1 species